CCUACGGGAGGCAGCAGUGAGGAAUAUUGGUCAAUGGACGCAAGUCUGAACCAGCCAUGCCGCGUGCAGGAAGACGGCUCUAUGAGUUGUAAACUGCUUUUGUACGAGGGUAAACGCAGAUACGCGUAUCUGUCUGAAAGUAUCGUACGAAUAAGGAUCGGCUAACUCCGUGCCAGCAGCCGCUGUAAUACGGAGGAUUCAAGCGUUAUCCGGAUUUAUUGGGUUUAAAGGGUGCGUAGGCGGUCGGAUAAGUUAUAGGGGAAAUCCCGAGGCUCAACUGCGGAAUUGCUUCUGAUACUGUUCGGCUGGAGAGUAGUUGCGGUAGGCGGAAUGCAUGGUGUAGCGGUGAAAUGCUUAGAGAUCAUACAGAACACCGAUUGCGAAGGCAGCUUACCAAGCUACUUCUGACGUUGAGGCACGAAAGCGUGGGGAGCAAACAGGAUUAGAUACCCGAGUAGUC
rnacentral:rRNA from 1 species